rnacentral:rRNA from 1 species
AACGAACGCUGGCGGCAUGCCUAACACAUGCAAGUCGAACGAGACCUUCGGGUCUAGUGGCGCACGGGUGCGUAACGCGUGGGAACCUGCCCUUAGGUUCGGAAUAACUCCCCGAAAGGGGUGCUAAUACCGGAUAAUGUCUUCGGACCAAAGAUUUAUCGCCUUUGGAUGGGCCCGCGUUGGAUUAGCUAGUUGGUAGGGUAAAAGCCUACCAAGGCGACGAUCCAUAGCUGGUCUGAGAGGAUGAUCAGCCACACUGGGACUGAGACACGGCCCAGACUCCUACGGGAGGCAGCGGUGGGGAAUAUUGGACACUGGGCGAAAGCCUGAUCCAGCAAUGCCGCGUGGGUGAUGAAGGCCUUAGGGUUGUAAAGCUCUUUUACCCGGGAUGAUAAUGACAGUACCGGGAGAAUAAGCGCCGGCUAACUCCGUG